CCCUUAGAUGUUCUGGGCUGCACGCGCGCUACACUGAUGCGAUCAACAAGUUUUUCCUAUGUCGAUAGACACGGGUAAUCUUUUGAACUCGCAUCGUGAUGGGGAUAGAUUAUUGUAAUUAUUAAUCUUCAACGAGGAAUUCCUAGUAGGUGCAAAUCAUCAGUUUGCAUCGAUUGCGUCCCUGCCCUUUGUACACACCGCCCGUCGCUGCUACCGAUUGGUUGAUCUGGUGAAUUAUUCGGACUGCCGGCUGAAGGGGUUUCCUCAUCUGCCAGCGGAAAGUCUUGUUAACCCUAUCAACUAGAGGAAGCAGAAGUCGUAACA
rnacentral:rRNA from 1 species